AAGUUGGGAUUUGGUCGUAAUCCUUCAAACACGCCUUCGUGGUCAGUGUUGGUGCUGCUCUGUUUCACAUGAUUCCACCAGAGUGUUAGCUUGUUCAGGUUCUCCUUCUUAAUUAAUCUUGCCUCAGAUGAUUCUUCCCUGGAACUUACAUUCUGAAGAUUUUUAAUGGUCAGCAUCCCUUUAAGUUCAUUCAACUCUUUUAGUUGGCAUAUGCCAUGCUUCAUAUCACUCUUCACUUUGUACUCCUCUAAUUCCUCGAGGGAUGUUAGCCUGCCAAUCAAUUCUAUACCUGAAAUUAUUUCCUUUGGAGCCUUUAAGUAUCUUAACUGGGUCAACAUACUUAAGCCCUCUUGAAGUUUCUUUUUCAUUAUCCUGCCUUGAUGAAUUUGCAGAUCCAGUCCAUGUAAAUGAUGGAGAUUGAAUAAUGACUUGGGGACAUUGAUAAAGCUUCUGCUUUCAUGGAUAUUUAGAUACCUAAGGUGUUCCAAAUGAUCCAUAUUGUCUGGGAGAAUGCCAUCAGGAUUGCGUAGCACUAAAACCCGUAAGCCUCUUAGCUCUUGGAGUGUAUGUUCAAGAACAUGGUUGAAGUUCGACGUAGCAAUCCCUUCAUAGGAAGCACCUUCUUCUGCCUUGCAUAUUAUUAAGCUUCUCAGAUUUUUCUUCAGUUCUUUAAAUUCUACCAAGCCCAUGUACACCUUAGAUAUGUUGCUUGCACUGACAUAUAGGUGGCGUACAUUU
rnacentral:lncRNA from 1 species